UCCUACGGGAGGCAGCAGUUGGGAAUCUUGGACAAUGGGGGGAAACCCUGAUCCAGCCAUGCCGCGUGAGUGAUGAAGGCCUUCGGGUUGUAAAGCUCUUUUACCCGGGAAGAUAAUGACUGUACCGGGAGAAUAAGCUCCGGCUAACUUCGUGCCAGCACCCGCGGUAAUA
rnacentral:rRNA from 1 species